CCUUCUCUGAUAGGUAUAUGUGUGACCAGGCACAGCCUGCCCCUUGCUGCAGGCCCAUCAAGUGUCCUCAGUGUUACAUAGUUGGAGCUUGUCCUUGUUACUUUCAUUCCUCCCCCCACAGACUUCCCCAGGGUGCUGUGGUUAGAGGGGGCUGAGAUGUCUGGGCCCACUGGGGAGAGAAAGGGACCCUGAUGUGUCUUCAGGAGAGCCAGACAGCAGCAUCAACUGGGGGUGGGGCUGUUGCCUGGGUGUAGAGGGGCCCGGUGCUCUCUCCUCCUCACCCCCCUCUUCCUCCUCUUUCAGGGUUCCUCAGAUUUAUCAAGAACUUCAAGGAGCCUGGCAAUGAUUCAGAGGCCAGUCUUCCCAAACCCCAGCGUCCUCAAAAGAUGGAGAAUGGAACCAUGAGCAGGGGCUGUUUCCUCCCAUGGCCUUCUCCAGGAGCCAACCCAGGACUCCAUGGAACCUUUCAGGGCUUCCAACAAAUAAUUCCCUAAGGCCAGAAGGGUGAAACAGGCCACAGGGGACAGCAACCCAGGCUAUACUCUGCUUCUUUCUGGACAACAGGCUCCACCUUAAAUGCUCCUCCUAUGAAGUGGGAGUAGGGGGGCAGAUUCACUCUCUUCCCAGGAAGACCAAACUGCACUUCAUUUGGUUUUCCUUUUCAUUCUGUUUUUUUCUCGUUCCUGUUGCAGGUUGGCCACUGUGUCCAGCCAGUUGGGACCCAGGUUUCAGAUCUCUGGCCUGGACCCAGGACAGAAUUUGGCCAUGCUGGCAGGACUAUAGCCCUCUGCUGGAGACACUGGAGACAGCUGCCAGUGCUUUCUCAGGGCUGGUGGACCAGAGAAGGAGGGACAGUUAAAUGCCGCAGUCUGGCUGGGCACAAUUCAGGAGCCACUUGUCA